UACAGAGGGGGCAAGCGUUGUUCGGAAUUACUGGGCGUAAAGGGCGCGUAGGCGGCCUUCUAAGUCGAACGUGAAAUCCCCGGGCUCAACCCGGGAACUGCGUCCGAUACUGGCGGGCUUGAAUCCGGGAGAGGGAUGCGGAAUUCCAGGUGUAGCGGUGAAAUGCGUAGAUAUCUGGAGGAACACCGGUGGCGAAGGCGGCAUCCUGGACCGGCAUUGACGCUGAGGCGCGAAAGCUAGGGGAGCAAACGGG
rnacentral:rRNA from 1 species